rnacentral:rRNA from 1 species
AGAGUUUGAUCCUGGCUCAGGACGAACGCUGACGGUGUGCUUUAGGCAUGCAAGUCGAACGAGAAAGCCCUUCGGGGCGAGUAAAGUGGCGAACGGGUGAGUAACACGUGGGCAACCUGCCCCUCGCAGGGGGACAACCGGAGGAAACUCCGGCUAAUACCCCGUAAGCUCUACACGCCGCAUGGCGAGUAGAGGAAAGGUAGCUUCGGCCAUCCGGCGAGGGAUGGGCCCGCGGUGCAUUAGCUAGUUGGUGGGGUAACGGCCCACCAAGGCGACGAUGCGUAGCUGGUCUGAGAGGAUGAUCAGCCACACUGGGACUGAGACACGGCCCAGACUCCUACGGGAGGCAGCAGCCAGGAAUCUUGGGCAAUGGGCGAAAGCCUGACCCAGCAACACCGUGUGGGUGAUGAAGGCCUUCGGGUCGUAAAGCCCUGUUGAUAGGGACGAAGGGUGAAGGGUUAAUAGCCCGGAGCUUGACGGUACCUUUCGAGGAAGCCCCGGCUAACUACGUGCCAGCAGCCGCGGUAAUACGUAGGGGGCGAGCGUUGUCCGGAAUUAUUGGGCGUAAAGAGCGUGUAGGCGGUUCGGUAAGUCUGUCGUGAAAUCCUGGGGCUCAACCCUGGGCGUGCGAUGGAUACUGCCGGGCUAGAGGGUGGUAGAGGCGAGUGGAAUUCCCGGUGUAGCGGUGAAAUGCGCAGAUAUCGGGAGGAACACCAGUAGCGAAGGCGGCUCGCUGGGCCACACCUGACGCUGAGACGCGAAAGCUAGGGGAGCGAACAGGAUUAGAUACCCCCGUAGUCC